rnacentral:rRNA from 1 species
AACGGAGGGGGGCUAGUGUUAUUCGUGAUUAUUGGGUGUUAAAGGGUACGUAGGCGGUUUUGUAAGUUUUUAGUAAAAGACUGGAGCUCAACUCCUUAAAGACUAAAUUUACUGUCAUUGCUAGAGUCAAGUAGGGGGCAACAGUACUCAUGCAGGAGGGUAAUAUCUGUUCAUAGCAUUGGGGACUCUCAUAAAGCGAAGGCCGUUGUCCAUGCUAGUCUGACGCUGAGGUACGGAAGCGUGGGGAGCAAACAGG